AGCAGAGGACGGUGAAGGUGCUGGGUGAUGGUAGCUGAGAUCAGUGGUGCUGCAGCCGUUGUCUUGCUUGGACGUCCAUGAUGCUGUCCAGCUGCAUUCCUCAGCCCUGCUGGCUGCAUCCAGCAGGACCUCCGGAAGAGCCUCUGCUUCAACUAUUUUAAGUGUUGCUCUAGGAAAUGUUCCCAUGGCUUGCAUACAAUCGACCAGGAAAAUGUGGUGGCCCUGCUGCGAAUGCUGUGCCGUGGUGCAUGCACGGGCUGAAGACCUGUGAGACCAACCUUCGUGUUGCUGGAGACUGCUGCGACUGGCCCUGUCUCCUCAGACCUCCUGCAAGGAGGCAAAAAAGUCUCAGAAAUGAAAAAUGACCAUUUUGCUUGCGAAAGGGCAGGGAGGUUUAUGUAAAUUUGGAGUCCUAGGGAAAAGGUCAAACUUUAUCCUCCUGUGCCAUCAGGAGAUACCACCACACAGUGCCACAAGAACUACGGAGUCAGAAUUAAUAAGAUAAAGGCAUUUCUGGUAUCCUAGGCAACCAUGAGAAUUUCCUCAAGCUUCACGUGAAGUCCUGAAGAGGCGACUCAUCUCUGCUGAGUCACCAGCUGCAUCCGCUGAUGUGCCCGCACUUCACUAGGUUGGAGACCGUCCCUCCACUCUGCCUUCUUCCCAUGGCUGCAAAUAAAUACAGGCGUAUUGCAGGCUGCUGUGUGCGUAAGGAAGCUCCUUAGACCUGGCAAAUAACCCGGGAGGUUUUCUAUCAGUUAAAUACACUCCUUCCAAAUGGCGUCCGUGAUCUGGCAUGGGUGUUUUCGUGGAAAAAAUCAAUGAGCUGAACUGGUUGGGAUGGGAAGAUGAGCUAGAGCUCCUUGUAGCCAGAGCUGCCUUGCCGUGGCCAUUCCUCUCUUUCCCAAUGAUUUCCAAGGACAUAGGAAUGACUUUUAAUCCAUUAAAUUGCGUUCAUUUAUAGAUGAAGAAUCUUUCCAUUUGACUUUUCAAGCACUACUUAUCGUCUGAUGUUAAGUUUUUAAACAGAAAAGUUUUAGUGUAAUUUUAAUUUGCAAUAAGCUACUAUCCAAACAAAUUCAUAAAUGAUUUGGUUUAAGCCCAAGAUGUCUUCAUAUUUUGCAAGCUUUUAUGGGCAACACCUAAUACUAAAAUGAACCUUGAAAAUAUUAAAAUUAUUCUUCCUUUUGUUCUUACUCUUCUAUUGCUCCCAAACACAGAAAACUCUACAUUUGAGCAAUCUUAAAGCAACGAAUGCAUUUUACUUUAUACCAUGAGAUCUUCCACCUUGCAGCCAUCUGCACCAAGACUUUCUUGCAGCCUUAUUGCUGGCUCAUCAGUGUGGACAUCCAUCUCGCUCAUUGACUGCUGUGAAGAGGUUAACUGCUCUUUGGAUUGCCAGGGAAA